CAAACUGCCAUUUGUUUUGCCUGCUUUUCCCCUCUUGUAUUUCCAUUUUGACUUCAGAGAGAAGAAAGAGAGAAAGAAGAAAAUGGAUGAACAGAUGCAGGAAUAGAUAAGAGAAGCAAAAUUCUAAGAUCAGAAGCAGAUGGGAGAAUAGAAGAGGGACAAAGAAAAUGACAAGAACGGCUCACGGAAAACAUGACAGCUGUUAGCAGAUCCUGGAUGGGAAGCCCAAGGUAAAUACAGAUGACAUUUAAUCUCAAUUCAGUAAGAAUCACAAACUUCCUGCUUCCUGUAAGCAGGGUUGCAUUCCCAGGAGGCUGGACUGUGGUACCUGGACUCUUCUAUACCGUCCUGGAUGAUGUCACCUGCCAGCCCAACCCCAGCAGCAGUCAAGGUUCAGAAUGUGAGCCGCCAGUGGUAGUGUUUCCUCUGAAGAAGAACCUGCAGGUCUCCAGUGCAGGUCUGUAGAACAGGUGAGCUGGUCUCAGGAGUGGGUAUUUUCUUCUUCACUGGUUGUUCAUCCCAGUUCAGUGGAGUGAUACGGAUCCACUCUUUUGUAUGCUAAAGAUUCCCACGUCCAUGUACCAACGUAAUGUUACCAGAAACAUUUUGUGUACUUCUUCCUUGACUUUUCUUUUAGGUCUUUCCCAAUAAGCAGAGUAGCUGUCCAGUGGUGUU
ensembl:lncRNA